rnacentral:tRNA from 1 species
UGGCCUAGUGGUUAAGGCUAUGGAUCGCCAAUCCGGAGACGGCGGGUUCAAUUCCCGU